AUCAUUUAAAUAGAAAACAUAACUCUCUCUCUCCCUCACUCUCACUCUCUCCCGUUACCUCUCUCUCCCUCACUUCCCUCACAAGCUCUCCCUCUCCCCCAAAUCCCAAACUCCAAAUCCCCCACCCCGAAUCAAUCCCAAGACCAAGGAGACUUCGAAUCCGCGUGCAGGGCCAUCUUCCCCGCGAGCUCCUCCCAAGGGUGCAUUGGAUUUCAAGUUCUUUGCUCACGAAAAGCUCAUCCUAGACGCCACCUCCGAGGGAGCCAUGUAUGAGGUGAUCGCCGAGCCACAGGAGCAGCAGGGGCAAGUUCAGCAGGAAGAAUGGCAUGAGCACCUGGCCCAAGGCCCAGCUGAGCCCAGUGUCGAGCAGCAGCCCGAAGGACCCGCACACGUAGACUUCUGUCCGUGUUGCGCCAAGUUUGUUCGACUGGACGCGGAUGGGUGGAACGUCGAGGACCCAGGAGCGUAGCUUUAGAGUGUAUGGGAUUGCACACUCGUGGGCUGAGUGUGUAAUUUCAUUCCCGUUCUUAUGUGUUGUAGUGGGCAGAUUCCAUAUUCAUAAAACUUUGUAUAAAUGGCACACACUUGUAUAUUAUUAUGUAUUUCGAACUCGGUUUGUAAACUAAAUGUUUCAUAAGCGUUUGGUGUUUAUAUUUU